GCUGGAGCGUGUUCCCCAUUGACGUUAUGUGGUGGCUCUUCAAUGCGUGCGCUGUUUUGCUGUUUUUGUGAAACAUUGAAAUGUCGUUCAAGAACAGUCUAUCAACAGGGCAUCACUGCGUUGUUUACGGCUGCAGUUAUAACCAGAAGAAGAGGAACGCUGCAAGAAAAGAGCUCUGCGGCACGCACAACGUAUUGCAAGAGGUGUGCGGAUGCAACGUGUAUUUGCUGCAUCGGUUUCCCGCUGACACCGAUUUGAAAAGACAGUGGGUCGCCGCAGUCAACAGAAAAGAUUUUGUGCCGUCGCCUUCAUCACGUUUAUGUUCUGCGCAUUUUGUUGACGGCAAGCGCACCGAUCUAAACCCCGUGCCGAUGCUUCGCCUCGGAUACGAAAGAAAGGUACUCAAAGGACGAAGACGUGUAGUAAAGCACGACGGUCCACAGUUAAAGAAAAAGAGGACAGCUGAGAACGUAGCACCAGCCUCACCAUUAGGCAUUCACAAUCUCGACACAGGAAAAGCCGACUUUCCCAAGGACGCUUGCCAGGAAAAGGUUGAACUCUUUCUUUUUUUUUUUUUUUCUACGAGAACUGUGUAAUUUCUUGUUAACGCCAUGAUUGCGAGACGACGUUUUCUAUCGUACGCUUACAGGAUGACACCUCCAGCGAAGGGCUGCGUUUGCUCUGUGCUGCCGCUUCUAUGAAGGUAUGUACACGGAAAGUUGUCUCGGAAGGCUACUUUCGUGCCAGUUGCGAGCG